rnacentral:rRNA from 1 species
CAAAGGAAGCGAUUCCGGCAACGGAUGGGCACGCGUGACAUUAGCUAGUUGGCGGGGCAACGGCCCACCAAGGCGACGAUGUCUAGGGGUUCUGAGAGGAAGAUCCCCCACACUGGUACUGAGACACGGACCAGACUCCUACGGGAGGCAGCAGUGAGGAAUAUUGGUCAAUGGGCGCGAGCCUGAACCAGCCAAGUCGCGUGAGGGAUGACGGCCCUACGGGUUGUAAACCUCUUUUGUCGGGGAGCAAAUUCCGCCACGCGUGGCGGAGUCGAGAGUACCCGAAGAAAAAGCAUCGGCUAACUCCGUGCCAGCAGCCGCGGUAAUACGGAGGAUGCGAGCGUUAUCCGGAUUUAUUGGGUUUAAAGGGUGCGUAGGCGGACUGUCAAGUCAGCGGUAAAAUACGGGGGCUCAACCUCCGCCCGCCGUUGAAACUGACGGUCUUGAGUGGGCGAGAAGUAUGCGGAAUGCGUGGUGUAGCGGUGAAAUGCAUAGAUAUCACGCAGAACUCCGAUUGCGAAGGCAGCAUACCGGCGCCCAACUGACGCUGAAGCACGAAAGCGUGGGUAUCGAACAGGAUUAGAUACCCUGGUAGUCCACGCAGUAAACGAUGAAUACUAGCUGUCCGGGGCGAAUGGGCCCUGG